rnacentral:tRNA from 1 species
CUUAGCUCAGUUGGUUAGAGCAUCUGACUGUUAAUCAGAGGGUCCAAGGUUCAAGUCCUUG